rnacentral:rRNA from 1 species
AUGUCACAGUCUCGUGAUGCAGCCGUCCGGGCCGAGGGUCUCCGCAGCGGCGGCGGCGGCGGCUUCAGCUGGGUCUUCGUCGCUGUGGUGUUCGUCUUGCUCACCUUCAACUCCGUCACAGCGGUGUACCACUCCAAGGGCGACCCGGCCAUCGUCGCCUUCGUCGCCACCUCCUACGCCGACCUGGUUCUGCUCUUCUGCAGCCUCUGGCUCUAUAACAGAGCGGCUGCAGGGUCGGCGUGGCGGAACCGGCUCAAGGCGUCGGUGUGGACUCUCACCACGCUGCUCACCUUCUCCUUCGCCUACAUGGUCAUGGGCACGGCUGAGCUAACCCUCCCCGUCGCGCUGCUCGUUUGGUUCAUCGCGGCGGCCACCGGGAUCGGCGCCUUUUCUGCCUUCUUCGAGCAGGGCAGCAGAACCAAUCCAUCACCGCAUGAAACCAUCCUGCUGCCACCGGCGUAG